UGGGGAAUAUUGCGCAAUGGGCGAAAGCCUGACGCAGCAACGCCGCGUGACCGAUGAAGCUUUUCGGAGUGUAAAGGUCUGUCGUGAGGGAAGAAAAAUUUGGAUGCAAAUAGUGUUCAGACUUGACAGUACCUCACAAGAAAGCACCGGCUAACUUAGUGCCAGCAGCCGCGGUAAUACUAGGGGUGCUAGCGUUGUCCGGAAUUACUGGGCGUAAAGGGUGUCUAGGCGAUUAGGUAAGUUGUUUGUUAAAUGCCUCGGCUCAACCGAGGACCUGCAUACAAAACUACCUGGAUAGAGUUUGGGAGAGGAAAGUGGAAUUCCUGGUGUAGCGGUGACAUGCGUAGAUAUCAGGAGGAACACCAAAAGCGAAGGCAGCUUUCUGGCCCAAAACUGACGCUGAAGCACGAAAGCGUGGGGAGCAAACAGG
rnacentral:rRNA from 1 species